CAGGAAGAUCACACCAUCCCUCACCAUCAUCAGUAUAAAGAACAGAUGUAUGUAAAAAAUGAGGUUAAAGUGGAAGAAGAGGAGACGACUGUGAUGGGUUAUCAGGAGUCUAAGGAGGAAGUUGGGAUGAUAGUGACAACUAAAGAGGAAGAACCUUUUCUAGAUAUGAGCACGGAUGGAUCCAGUAAUGGGAACCCACCAGAGAGAUGUCCCCAUCC